GACGAACCGUGCGAACGUUGUUCGGAAUCACUGGGCUUAAAGGGCGCGUAGGCGGCCUGCCAAGUCCGGGGUGAAGGCCUCCAGCUUAACUGGAGAAGUGCCCUGGAUACUGGCGGGCUCGAGGGAGGCAGGGGUUGUGGGAACUUCCGGUGGAGCGGUGAAAUGCGUUGAUAUCGGAAGGAACGCCGGUGGCGAAAGCGCACAACUGGUCCUCUUCUGACGCUGAGGCGCGAAAGCCAGGGGAGCAAACGGG
rnacentral:rRNA from 1 species